UUCUGUUUUGGGGUACUGUGAAGCCAUUACAAUAUAGGAACUAUUAAUUUCUGUUUGAAUUUUUAGAUCAUGCAUAAUUUAAUGUAAAAACAAAAAAUCUAUUAUAGUCUGGAUCCCAUUAUAGUAGCAGAAAUUUGUACUACAGAAAGAUUAUCCAUAAGGUAUAUAAUUAUAAUCAUAUUUUAUAAUCCUGACAUUUUCUUUCCUCUAAAACCUUAGGUCAUUAUGCAAUCUUUCUCGGACUCAGCUCUCUAAUUCUUAAGCCACAGCAAAAGAGAUGAAAUUCUGCCUGAACUAUUAUCCUCCAUUUACAGUUAAGUAAACUGAUGUCCUGGGAAAUGAGGCACUUUAGUUUUAAAAGCUGCUAAAGUCUACUGCUACAUCAUGCAGAAUUCUUCAGGACAGGGCAUCUGAAAAAAUUUGAGUCAAUGCACAGGAUAUUGUCCUGGGAAGCACCAUAUAAAAAAAUAAAGAAGAGGAACAGAAUCUGUGGCAAAGAAAGGUUAAAUUAUUGAUAACAUGUUUUGAAUUCUGAAACAUCAAUUUCUGAAACUAGAGCUUCUGGGGUUUUUUAAAUUUAAAUUUUAAUAAAAAUGCUAUAAUUAAUAUCUCAGCAAAUCUUUGUCCUCAUGUCCGAUUAUUUAAGAAAAUUACUAGAAAUUGGAUUAAUGAUCCAAGGGUGAGAUUAUUUUUAAGUCUUUUAAUAAAUGUUCCCAAUCUGUUUUUAGUAGAGUUGGUAGCAAUUAUUAUUCCCACCAUCGGCGGGCAAGGGUGAC